ACCACAUUCAUUGUUCAAACAGAACUGGUUUACACAGUUGGGCUUUUAUAUAUCUGGUCAUCUUUGCAGACAGUUCUACUUAAAAGAAAGAAAUUCUCCAAGGAACGUACUUAGAAGGAUAUUCAUGUCCUAAAACUCUUUUCAAGAGAAUAUCUUUGUUCCCUGAGGUUGCACAGUAAGAUUUAGAUGCUUCUAUUAGGAUCUCUGCAAUGGAGCAUGCUUCAGUAAUUAUAAAAAUAUAGAGCUUAUCAGGGUUGGAGAAUUUCGGUAAAGAAAGUGCAACUUAAUUUGGAGAGAGGGAUUUACACUUGAUGUGAUAAAUUGUUCAGAGUAAUUGUAUGUUUUUGAGCAGGGGAGUGACAGAUGAAACCAUCUCUACAGGAAAAUUUAUAGAGCAUCAGUAUGCAGGAAGUCUUAGAUGAUAGAAGAGCGUAUGCUAACUAGAAGCCUAAAAAUAUACCUCAGGGACAAUAUGAUAAAGGCUUGGACUACAAGGUGGGUUGUGGGAAUAGAAAAUUGACAUUUUGAAGACACUUUUGAUAGGUCUUCAUAACUGCAUGGAAAUAGUAGAGAGGGAUUAUAUUAUAACUUGAAAGCACAGCCUGAGACAAGAGCAUGGAUGCAGGUCGUUUACUUGAGAAAAGUCCCUAGGAAGGAAAGAGUGAGAAAGUGGGGAGAAAGCAGCAGAGAAAGGAUAAAAGCCAGUGAAGGGCACCAUUAAAGAGCUGCCUACCAAUGUGGAUGAAUAGGGCUCGAUUCUACUGGGGACCUCCACGGAAACCAUGACUAACAUGUUUGAGAAUUGCCCUGCCACAAGCUGGGGAGGCUAAGGAAUUCAUCCGCUGACUUCCUCACCCUUGGCUGUGUACAUCUUUGUAUACCUCCCUAUGGAUGGAACCCUUCUCUUGCCUGGAAGAAGGCAAGCUGCAAUAAUCAAUGCAAUUGAAUACUUAACAUAAGAAUAUCACAUAG
rnacentral:lncRNA from 1 species